rnacentral:rRNA from 1 species
GCAAGUCGAACGGUAACAGAGAAGUGCUUGCACUUUUGCUGACGAGUGGCGGACGGGUGAGUAAUGCUUGGGAAUAUGCCUUAUGGUGGGGGACAACAGUUGGAAACGACUGCUAAUACCGCAUAAUCUCUUCGGAGCAAAGCAGGGGACCUUUGGGCCUUGCGCCAUAAGAUGAGCCCAAGUGGGAUUAGCUAGUUGGUAAGGUAAUGGCUUACCAAGGCGACGAUCCCUAGCUGGUCUUAGAGGAUGACC